rnacentral:lncRNA from 10 species
UUUGCCAGGCUCCACCUGUGAGGGAGGGAAGAAUGCACAAGGAAGAGCUUACCUGGUUUCAAUUUCUUUCUUUCACCAUUUUCAAGGUUGUCAACCAGGAAAGUCCUUCAGGCAUCAGACACUCUCCAAUUAAGCCUUCCAUAAAAACCAGGAGACAUUACCAGCUAGGAUGACAAGUUAGAAACCUGCAGGACCAGUACUAUGCCAGCACCCCAAUGAUGGCAACUAGGAUUGCUUCGCAGCUGCUCCCUGCCAAUAGUGCUUCCUGUCUACCUGUCAAAGGGGUGUGUCUUCCUCCCUGGCCAAGUCCUGUGUAAACCAAGUAAUGAUCAGGCAAGAAGAGAUCCAAAAAAACCCAUUGCCACAUCAAAGCAUAUUCCAGGGCUGUUGCAUUCUUUUCAAUAAAG